rfam:Loxodonta africana unplaced genomic scaffold scaffold_78, whole genome shotgun sequence.
GCCCUGGUGGCUCAAUGGUUAAGCACUUGGCUGAUAACCGAAAGGUUGAUGGUUUGAACCCACCCAGCAGCU